CGCAGAUCUAUUCACAAAGCCCUUAAAACAACCAUUGUUCGAGAAGCUUAGAAGAAAAAUGGGAAUGUGCAGAAUCCAAGAUGUAUAUCAAGAUGACGAAGUGAAGUCCUAAACUGAUUUCCGCAGAAUUCAGUUUAAGGGAGGGUGUUGAAGCUAAUAAUAGAGUUUGAAUGAGUUUGAAUGAGUUGAAUGAGUUACUGCCGAAGAGAAGGAGGAGGUGGAUUCAAUUUCGUCCACACAAAUCUCAACCAACUCCAGGAAUCCCCCUAUAAAAGGACCUCCCUCCCCGUCAUUCAAAUCACUCCUCCUCUCAAUCUCACUUCAGUUUUCUGUUGUCACCAACAGGAGAGGGAAAAGCAGUUCUCCUUG